GAUGAACGCUGGCGGCGUGCUUAACACAUGCCAGUCGAACGAUGAAGCCCAGCUUGCUGGGUGGAUUAGUGGCGAACGGGUGAGUAACACGUGAGUAACCUGCCCUUAACUCUGGGAUAAGCCUGGGAAACUGGGUCUAAUACCGGAUAGGAGCGUCCACCGCAUGGUGGGUGUUGGAAAGAUUUAUCGGUUUUGGUUGGACUCGCGGCCUAUCAGCUUGUUGGUGAGGUAAUGGCUCACCAAGGCGACGACGGGUAGCCGGCCUGAGAGGGUGACCGGCCACACUGGGACUGAGACACGGCCCAGACUCCUACGGGAGGCAGCAGUGGGGAAUAUUGCACAAUGGGCGCGAGCCUGAUGCAGCGACGCCGCGUGAGGGAUGACGGCCUUCGGGUUGUAAACCUCUUUCAGUAGGGAAGAAGCGAAAGUGACGGUACCUGCAGAAGAAGCACCGGCUAACUACGUG
rnacentral:rRNA from 1 species